rnacentral:tRNA from 1 species
CGUCGGAUGGCGCAGUUGGUAGCGCGUCGGUCCCAUAAACCGAAGGCCGCAGGAUCAAAGCCUGCUCUGACGA